UACGGAGGGUGCGAGCGUUGUCCGGAUUCACUGGGCGUAAAGGGCGCGUAGGUGGCCUGAUCAGUCGGGCGUAAAAGGGCGCGGCUAAACCGCGUGCUGGCGUUCGGGACGGUGGGGCUUGAGGGUGGUCGAGGGAUGCGGAAGUCCGGGUGUAGUGGUGAAAUGCGUAGAUAUCCGGAGGAACACCGGUGGCGAAGGCGGCAUCCUGGGCCACAACUGACACUGAGGCGCGAGAGCGUGGGGAGCGAACCGG
rnacentral:rRNA from 1 species